rnacentral:lncRNA from 1 species
AUUUUUUCGGUAUAAUAAAGACAACAUUAAGCGAAACUAAUAAAUAGGCUCAUUCGUCUUUGAACAUCUGAAACAAUUCUAUUAAACUAAGUCUCGCAUGGUGGAAACUCAUAAACUUGGAUCUUAAUAAAUCUUGACACCGUAACCUUUUGCCAUAUGAUCGACGACUACAUUGAGUCCUUGAAAGAUGUCGAAAACAAACCUUCCAUCCUUGACACACGAUUUGAUGAAUCCUGC